AGCUACUGACUCUCUGUAGAAUGAAGAACUUAUCGUUCUUUAUUUUGCAUGGAAUCCCCCCAAAAAAACGAUAUAUAAAAAUACACCACACUUAGCCCUCGCGCUAAAGAAGAGAUUGAAUAGAUAUAUUAAACUAGUAGUAUGAAAUGAGUUCGACCAAAAUUUUCAACAACCCUAACAAAGAUUUUAUAUUUUUAUAAAAACCAUUGUUGCUUUUUUUACAGAGUUUUAUCGUUGAAUACAUCAAUA
rnacentral:misc_RNA from 1 species